GACUGAAUGACACAGUGAUUGGUCAGGACUCGGGCAGCCCGCGCUCCAGACACUGCUGUGUGAGGGGAUAGAAGGUGACCGCUCCUCCCCUUCACUCUCCCAAGUUUGCCAGGGAAUAUUCCCGGUAUUCAGGUAUUCUCUCCACCCCCGCGUCACCACAGAUACUUCUGCCGUUGGAUUGGGAAGGCACGACUCUAUGGUAGUCUGCUGCACUUGGACUUAAUCUGACAACACUCAGAAGUGGAUAGACAAGCCAAUGGAGGAAAGGAGACAAGAGGAUGGCCAUGGAGGGGCUGCUGAUUAUCUGCAUCAAGUAUGACUACCACAAAAAAUAUGCAGGACCGGUCGAUUUCAUUUAUACAAAACCGAAGGACAACGUUUUUGGGUACUAGCUUGUACCUUCCUCAGGUCCACCAGAAAGAACUGACCGGCUUCCUGGACAGCUUACUGCAUGCAGUAAUUUUUCCGCCACGAUGUCCCGUCACUGUAUAACGCCCGUAAUGAAUUACGGGCAUAUACGGGUGCAACGGGCAGUUACAAAACCCCAUAGGCUGCAAUGCGAUUUAGUCACGGCCGUCAGGGGUUUUGUAAUGGCCGGGUUUCGCCGAUAUAGUGACGGAACUGGUGAGGGAAGUUCCUAAACAGAACUAUUUCAUAGUGUGAAAGAGGCCUAAGGCUGUGUGCUGACACUGUAUUUUGACAGUAAAAAAGAAAUCAGUCUGUUUUAACAGGAAAAAUUAGUCUCAUGCUUUUCGAUUAUUUUCUGGCAUUUGGAACAUUUUAGAGCAUUUUUUUUUUCUCAUUUUAGAAUUUUAUUUUUUAACCUUUUUCCUUCUUCUAUUUUUUGGCUGCAUCAAAUACUAUUAUGCCAUUUGUAAACCAUUUAUGAGCCUUUGAGCCAUAAACUGCCUAAAAAAGUUUUAAAACUUCUAAAAGAUUUGACUUUUUGUCAUUAAGAAUGUUAAAUUGAGCUAAAUUUAA